UACGAAGGGGGCUAGCGUUGUUCGGAUUUACUGGGCGUAAAGCGCACGUAGGCGGAUCGUUAAGUCAGAGGUGAAAUCCUGGAGCUCAACUCCAGAACUGCCUUUGAUACUGGAGAGCUUGAGUCCGGGAGAGGUGAGUGGAACUGCGAGUGUAGAGGUGAAAUUCGUAGAUAUUCGCAAGAACACCAGUGGCGAAGGCGGCUCACUGGCCCGGUACUGACGCUGAGGUGCGAAAGCGUGGGGAGCAAACAGG
rnacentral:rRNA from 1 species